AGAUAUGGCUCUGUGGUAGAGCUUUUGCCUAGCAUGCAUGAGGUCCCGGGUUCUAUCUCCAGCAAAAAUAUUUA
rnacentral:tRNA from 1 species